rnacentral:rRNA from 1 species
GUUCCUGGCUCAGGACGAACGCUGGCGGCGUGCUUAACACAUGCAAGUCGAACGGGGCAUAGAGAUAUGCCUAGUGGCGGACGGGUGAGUAACACGUGAGCAACCUAUCCUAUACAACGGGAUAACACAGAGAAAUUUGUGCUAAUACGGUAUAAGACCACACUCCGGCAUCGGAGAGGGGUAAAAGCUGAGGCGGUAUAGGAGGGGCUCGCGGCCCAUUAGCUAGUUGGAGAGGUAACGGCUCACCAAGG